GACGAACGCUGGCGGCGUGCUUAACACAUGCAAGUCGAACGGAAAGGCCCUGCUUUUGUGGGGUGCUCGAGUGGCGAACGGGUGAGUAACACGUGAGUAACCUGCCCUUGACUUUGGGAUAACUUCAGGAAACUGGGGCUAAUACCGGAUAGGAGCUCCUGCUGCAUGGUGAGGGUUGGAAAGUUUCGGCGGUUGGGGAUGGACUCGCGGCUUAUCAGCUUGUUGGUGGGGUAGUGGCUUACCAAGGCUUUGACGGGUAGCCGGCCUGAGAGGGUGACCGGCCACAUUGGGACUGAGAUACGGCCCAGACUCCUACGGGAGGCAGCAGUGGGGAAUAUUGCACAAUGGGCGGAAGCCUGAUGCAGCAACGCCGCGUGCGGGAUGACGGCCUUCGGGUUGUAAACCGCUUUCGCCUGUGACGAAGCGUGAGUGACGGUAAUGGGAAAAGAAGCACCGGCUAACUACGUG
rnacentral:rRNA from 1 species